rnacentral:rRNA from 1 species
UACGAAGGGGGCUAGCGUUGCUCGGAAUGACUGGGCGUAAAGGGCGCGUAGGCGGAUGGCACAGUCAGAUGUGAAAUUCCCGGGCUUAACUUGGGGGCUGCAUUUGAUACGUGUUGUCUUGAGUUCGGAAGAGGGUCGUGGAAUUCCCAGUGUAGAGGUGAAAUUCGUAGAUAUUGGGAAGAACACCGGUGGCGAAGGCGGCGACCUGGUCCGACACUGACGCUGAGGCGCGAAAGCGUGGGGAGCAAACAGG